rnacentral:rRNA from 1 species
UAGGGAAUCUUCGGCAAUGGACGAAAGUCUGACCGAGCAACGCCGCGUGAGUGAAGAAGGUUUUCGGAUCGUAAAACUCUGUUGUUAGAGAAGAACAAGGACGUUAGUAACUGAACGUCCCCUGACGGUAUCUAACCAGAAAGCCACGGCUAACUACGUGCCAGCAGCCGCGGUAAUACGUAGGUGGCAAGCGUUGUCCGGAUUGAUUGGGCGUAAAGCGAGCGCAGGCGGUUUCUUAAGUCUGAUGUGAAAGCCCCCGGCUCAACCGGGGAGGGUCAUUGGAAACUGGGAGACUUGAGUGCAGAAGAGGAGAGUGGAAUUCCAUGUGUAGAGGUGACAUGCGUAGAUAUAUGGAGGAACACCAGUGGCGAAGGCGGCUCUCUGGUCUGUAACUGACGCUGAGGCUCGAAAGCGUGGGGAGCAAACAGG